GACGAGGGGUCCUAGCGUUGUUCGGAAUCACUGGGCGUAAAGCGUAUGUAGGCGGGCUUUUAAGUCGGGUGUGAAAUCCCACGGCUCAACCGUGGAAUUGCAUUCGAAACUGGAAGUCUUGAGUGUGGGAGAGAUUGGUAGAAUACCUGGUGUAGUGGUGAAAUACGUAGAUAUCAGGUGGAAUACCGGUGGCGAAGGCGGCCAAUUGGCCCAACACUGACGCUGAGAUACGAAAGCGUGGGGAGCAAACAGG
rnacentral:rRNA from 1 species